CUCUCCCUGAGCCCUGGUCUUCCUGAGUACCUCCCCGGAGAGCCUGUUUCCCUCACAGGCUGGGAUGCCCAAGGGAUCACCAACUUGCAGGAUUCUGAUGUGACAAGUUCUCCAGCUCCUGUUACCCCUCUUAGUGCCAGUGCGGGGUCAAUACCCAUAACACAGGGUCAGGAUUUGGGGACUGGAAACCCUUCCCAUCCCCGUCAAUCCCUGUCUGUGCAAAUGCUCCCUAUGAUGCAGCACAAACAUUAGUUAAAACACACCCCAAGGGCCCUGUGGGACAAGGGGGCUGGUUUCAGAAACUUCGCCAUGAGAGAGGGAGAUCCCAAUUGGUGAGAAUAAAAAAAAUCCUGCACCUGCUUGUACUGAUACGUCUGUCUGACCGGGAGAUCCCAGCACGGAAGAACCAGCCCCUCUCCACCAGCCUGGGGGAGGCGGCAUUGGGCAGGGAGAUCGGGCUGGUUUGUGUGUGUUAGGGAUUUUUUCAUCUAUCUCCCAAUCCUCCUCAAUCACAGAGCGGAGCAGAUCCCCAAAUGGGUCUUCAGCCAGGGCACAUCAGUGAUCAGCACGACUUACUCAGCAAAGAGCAUGUGUGACGCUCCUCGGGGAUACCCAGGGCUCUGGGGCAUGUUCCUGCCACCUGCCCUUAGCGUGAGGAAGCCUGGUCUGUACUUGCUGGGGGCAGCUCCCUGACUGCCUGGUCUCAGCCGCACAAGCCCUCCCCUCCCCGCCCCUGCAGGCUGAGCUGGCCCUGGGCAGGAGCUGACCCCUCAGUUACCAAGGAGGGGACGCUGGUCCCACUGGGUUCCUUGGCAGUGAAAUCUCUGCUGCUCCGUGUUUGCAUGGCCCGGUGGGGACGUGGUACCUGAGCACUGAGUUGGGGCUGGCUGGGGUCUGUGUCCAGGAUCCCGCCCUCUUCUGCUCUUCAUUGGCCCUUCCUCUGCUUCUGUAUCACCAGCCACACAAGUAGCCAUCUCCUCCCCCGACCCCCUUGUCUUUUCCAGCCCCCCUCCCGACUCCCCAGCUCACCGUGUCCCCGCAGCAGCCUGUCUACAUAACUGGAGAAGCUGUGACCCUGACGUGCUCAGCUGCCAGGGCGUCCACUGUGUCCGGGGUCCGGUUCUUCAGAGAUGAUCAGGAAAUUCAGCGGAAGGAACUCCCCUCACCUCGGUACAGUUACACCAAUUCGAUUCCAGCGCAAGGCGGAACCUAUACCUGUGAAUCCUGGCAGACAGUGUCUGGGCGAGAAAUCACAUCAAACAGGAGCCGACCGAUCUCCAUAGCAGUCACAGCCUUCGUCCCGGCUCUCCAUGUCACUGUGUCCCCAGAGCAGCCUGUUGACAUAACUGGAGAAGUUGCCUGACU
rnacentral:lncRNA from 1 species